rnacentral:misc_RNA from 1 species
GAAAUGCGAUAAGUAGUGUGAAUUGCAGAAUUCAGUGAAUCAUCGAAUCUUUGAACGCACAUUGCGCCCCUUGGUAUUCCAUGGGGCAUGCCUGUUCGAGCGUCAUUAGUACCCUCAAGCUCUGCUUGGUGUUGGGUGUUUGUCCCCGUCUCCGCGCGUGGACUCGCCCCAAAGUGAUUGGCAGCCGGCGUACUGGUCCCGGAGCGCAGCACAUGUCGCGCAAACGAGUGCCUUGGUACGGCGGCGUCCAUAAGCCCCUCUCUCACGCUCUUGACCUCGGAUCAGGUAGGGAUACCCGCUGAACUUAAGC